rnacentral:rRNA from 1 species
UUAAGCGACUAAGCGUACACGGUGGAUGCCCUGGCAGUCAGAGGCGAUGAAGGACGUGCUAAUCUGCGAUAAGCGUCGGUAAGGUGAUAUGAACCGUUAUAACCGGCGAUUUCCGAAUGGGGAAACCCAGUGCAAUUCGUUGCACUAUCGUUAAGUGAAUACAUAGCUUAACGAAGCGAACCGGGGGAACUGAAACAUCUAAGUACCCCGAGGAAAAGAAAUCAACCGAGAUUCCCCCAGUAGCGGCGAGCGAACGGGGAGCAGCCCAGAACCUGAAUCAGUUUGUGUGUUAGUGGAAGCGUCUGGAAAGUCGCAGGGUACAGGGUGAUACUCCCGUACACUAAAAUGCACAGGCUGUGAGUUCGAAGAGUAGGGCGGGACACGUGGUAUCCUGUCUGAAUAUGGGGGGACCAUCCUCCAAGGCUAAAUACUCCUGACUGACCGAUAGUGAACCAGUACCGUGAGGGAAAGGCGAAAAGAACCCCGGCGAGGGGAGUGAAAAAGAACCUGAAACCGUGUACGUACAAGCAGUGGGAGCCUCUUUAUGGGGUGACUGCGUACCUUUUGUAUAAUGGGUCAGCGACUUAUAUUCUGUAGCAAGGUUAACCGCAUAGGGGAGCCGCAGGGAAACCGAGUCUUAACUGGGCGUUAAGUUGCAGGGUAUAGACCCGAAACCCGGUGAUCUAGCCAUGGGCAGGUUGAAGGUUGGGUAACACUAACUGGAGGACCGAACCGACUAAUGUUGAAAAAUUAGCGGAUGACUUGUGGCUGGGGGUGAAAGGCCAAUCAAACCGGGAGAUAGCUGGUUCUCCCCGAAAGCUAUUUAGGUAGCGCCUCGUGAAUUCAUCUUCGGGGGUAGAGCACUGUUUCGGCUAGGGGGUCAUCCCGACUUACCAAUCCGAUGCAAACUACGAAUACCGAAGAAUGUUAUCACGGGAGACACACGGCGGGUGCUAACGUCCGUCGUGAAGAGGGAAACAACCCAGACCGCCAGCUAAGGUCCCAAAGUCAUGGUUAAGUGGGAAACGAUGUGGGAAGGCACAGACAGCCAGGAUGUUGGCUUAGAAGCAGCCAUCAUUUAAAGAAAGCGUAAUAGCUCACUGGUCGAGUCGGCCUGCGCGGAAGAUGUAACGGGGCUAAACCAUGCACCGAAGCUGCGGCAGCGACGCGUAUGCGUUGUUGGGUAGGGGAGCGUUCUGUAAGCCGUUGAAGGUGGCCUGUGAGGGUUGCUGGAGGUAUCAGAAGUGCGAAUGCUGACAUAAGUAACGAUAAAGCGGGUGAAAAGCCCGCUCGCCGGAAGACCAAGGGUUCCUGUCCAACGUUAAUCGGGGCAGGGUGAGUCGACCCCUAAGGCGAGGCCGAAAGGCGUAGUCGAUGGGAAACAGGUUAAUAUUCCUGUACUCGGUGUUACUGCGAAGGGGGGACGGAGAAGGCUAUGUUGGCCGGGCGACGGUUGUCCCGGUUUAAGCAUGUAGGCGGAGGUUCCAGGUAAAUCCGGUACCUUAUUAACGCUGAGGUGUGAUGACGAGGCACUACGGUGCUGAAGUGACAAAUGCCCUGCUUCCAGGAAAAGCCUCUAAGCAUCAGGUAACAUCAAAUCGUACCCCAAACCGACACAGGUGGUCAGGUAGAGAAUACCAAGGCGCUUGAGAGAACUCGGGUGAAGGAACUAGGCAAAAUGGUGCCGUAACUUCGGGAGAAGGCACGCUGAUGGUAGGUGAAGCGACUUGCUCGUGGAGCUGAACUCAGUCGAAGAUACCAGCUGGCUGCAACUGUUUAUUAAAAACACAGCACUGUGCAAACACGAAAGUGGACGUAUACGGUGUGACGCCUGCCCGGUGCCGGAAGGUUAAUUGAUGGGGUUAUCCGUAAGGAGAAGCUCUUGAUCGAAGCCCCGGUAAACGGCGGCCGUAACUAUAACGGUCCUAAGGUAGCGAAAUUCCUUGUCGGGUAAGUUCCGACCUGCACGAAUGGCGUAAUGAUGGCCAGGCUGUCUCCACCCGAGACUCAGUGAAAUUGAACUCGCUGUGAAGAUGCAGUGUACCCGCGGCAAGACGGAAAGACCCCGUGAACCUUUACUAUAGCUUGACACUGAACACUGGUCCUUGAUGUGUAGGAUAGGUGGGAGGCUUUGAAGUGUGGACGCCAGUCUGCAUGGAGCCGACCUUGAAAUACCACCCUUUAAUGGCUGGUGUUCUAACGUAGACCCGUCAUCCGGGUUGCGGACAGUGUCUGGUGGGUAGUUUGACUGGGGCGGUCUCCUCCCAAAGAGUAACGGAGGAGCACGAAGGUUAGCUAAUCCUGGUCGGACAUCAGGAGGUUAGUGCAAUGGCAUAAGCUAGCUUGACUGCGAGCGUGACGGCGCGAGCAGGUGCGAAAGCAGGUCAUAGUGAUCCGGUGGUUCUGAAUGGAAGGGCCAUCGCUCAACGGAUAAAAGGUACUCCGGGGAUAACAGGCUGAUACCGCCCAAGAGUUCAUAUCGACGGCGGUGUUUGGCACCUCGAUGUCGGCUCAUCACAUCCUGGGGCUGAAGUAGGUCCCAAGGGUAUGGCUGUUCGCCAUUUAAAGUGGUACGCGAGCUGGGUUUAGAACGUCGUGAGACAGUUCGGUCCCUAUCUGCCGUGGGCGCUGGAGAAUUGAGGGGGGCUGCUCCUAGUACGAGAGGACCGGAGUGGACGCAUCACUGGUGUUCGGGUUGUCAUGCCAAUGGCAUUGCCCGGUAGCUAAAUGCGGAAGAGAUAAGUGCUGAAAGCAUCUAAGCACGAAACUUGCCCCGAGAUGAGUUCUCCCUGACUCCUUGAGAGUCCUGAAGGAACGUUGAAGACGACGACGUUGAUAGGUCGGGUGUGUAAGCGUAGCGAUACGUUGAGCUAACCGAUACUAAUGAACCGUGAGGCUUAACCUU